rnacentral:rRNA from 1 species
GUUAAAAAGCUCGUAGUUGAAUUUCGGGGUUAGUAGGUUGGUCAUGCCUCUGGUAUGUACUGGUUUCACUGAUUCCUCCUUCAUGAUGAGCCGUAAUGCCAUUAAUUUGGCGUUGCGGGGAAUUUGGACUGUUACUUUGAAAAAAUUAGAGUGUUUAAAGCAAGCUAACGCUUGAAUACAUUAGCAUGGAAUAAUGAAAUAGGACGUUCGAUCCUAUUUUGUUGGUUUCUAGGAUAGACGUAAUGAUUAAUAGGGAUAGUUGGGGGCAUUAGUAUUCAAUUGUCAGAGGUGAAAUUCUUGGAUUUAUUGAAGACUAACUACUGCGAAAGCAUUUGCCAAGGAUGUUUUCAUUAAUCAAGAACGAAAGUUAGGGGAUCGAAGACGAUCAGAUACCGUCGUAGUCUUAACCAUAAACUAUGCCGACUAGGGAUCGGAUGAUGUUAAUUUUUUAAUGACUCA